rnacentral:lncRNA from 1 species
AGUCAUGUCCAGUUCUGUAAACAAAUUCUCAACUGCACCAGAAGGCCUGACAGUUAAGAGAACCCAGUGAAGAAACCUUUUGCAGAGAGAGAAAAGAACCCUUUUGAAUGUGAUCAAUCACGCUGAUUUAUUUGGAUGAUUUCUCUUCUGGAUUUCCUUAAACCAGGGAAAACCCAGGGACAGCAAUUGCUAUAAUUGAUGCAAACGAUCCCAGCCACACUCCCUGAUCCUGGUUCUGAAACUCAGAGAUGCAGCUGACCAGACUGAUGUGGCCAGCCUCACUCUGAAGGAUCCUGCAGCAGACAAAUUGCUGGAAUGUGUUCAGACGGAAUCCAGCUGCUACAACCGUCACACAAACUUCCUGAAAUAGAGGACAAAAGAGACAGAGGUCUUGCUAUGUUGCCCAGGCUGGUCUCAAGCUCCUGGCCUCAAGCGAUUCUCCUUCCUCAGCCUCCAAAAGUGCUGGGAUUACAGGUGCAACAGUGACCCGUGACGCAGUAGGGAGGGCUGUUUUCCAUGCCCAGUGAGGCCUGCUCAGCUCCCAUUAGGCCUUUAUGGAUGGCCUGCCUCCCAGCUGGUACCUGGUCCCGUCACAGUCCCAGGACUCUAGACCUCGAGGCAGCCAGGUGGGUGCUACAGAUGGUGACCUCUCGGUGGCACAGCCUGGCGCUGCAGCAGAAUGCAGGGUUGGGGGCGGGGUGAAGAAUGGAGUCUGGAUUGUGCCAAAACAGGAGUUUCUAUGUCUGGUCCUGCCACCGACUGCACCUGCAUUGCUGCGUGACCUUGACAGCUACUCCUUCCACACCUGAACGUCCUCAUCUGGAAACUGGACUUGCCUCCUAGGGUUCCUGCAAAUAUAAAAUGAGCUAAUGCCUUUGAGGUGUUUGCUAUUGUCCUGGCACUUGGCAAACACAUGAUAAAUAUUAGCAAUCACUUGCGAGGGGGUGUGGGGUUCGGGGGAGCUUUGCCCCUCCUCCCCCUCUCCAGGGCUGAGCAGCAGUGAAGAGCUUUCUGCAUAAGAGAGAGCAAGAGAGAUAAAUAAACCCACAUCUUCCUCUGAAA